UACGUAGGGGGCUAGCGUUGUCCGGAUUUAUUGGGCGUAAAGAGCGUGUAGGCGGCCAGGUAGGUCUGCUGUGAAAACUCGAGGCUCAACCUCGAGACGUCGGCGGAAACCAUCUGGCUAGAGUCCGGAAGAGGAGAGUGGAAUUCCUGGUGUAGCGGUGAAAUGCGCAGAUAUCAGGAGGAACACCGGUGGCGAAGGCGGUGCUCUGGGCCACUACUGACGCUGAGAAGCGAAAGCAUGGGGAGCGAACAGG
rnacentral:rRNA from 1 species